rnacentral:rRNA from 1 species
GGCAAUACGGGUGCUAUACAUGCAGUCGUACGCUUCUUUUUCCACCGGAGCUUGCUCCACCGGAAAAAGAAGAGUGGCGAACGGGUGAGUAACACGUGGGUAACCUGCCCAUCAGAAGGGGAUAACACUUGGAAACAGGUGCUAAUACCGUAUAACAAUCGAAACCGCAUGGUUUUGAUUUGAAAGGCGCUUUCGGGUGUCGCUGAUGGAUGGACCCGCGGUGCAUUAGCUAGUUGGUGAGGUAACGGCUCACCAAGGCCACGAUGCAUAGCCGACCUGAGAGGGUGAUCGGCCACAUUGGGACUGAGACACGGCCCAAACUCCUACGGGAGGCAGCAGUAGGGAAUCUUCGGCAAUGGACGAAAGUCUGACCGAGCAACGCCGCGUGAGUGAAGAAGGUUUUCGGAUCGUAAAACUCUGUUGUUAGAGAAGAACAAGGAUGAGAGUAACUGUUCAUCCCUUGACGGUAUCUAACCAGAAAGCCACGGCUAACUACGUGCCAGCAGCCGCGGUAAUACGUAGGUGGCAAGCGUUGUCCGGAUUUAUUGGGCGUAAAGCGAGCGCAGGCGGUUUCUUAAGUCUGAUGUGAAAGCCCCCGGCUCAACCGGGGAGGGUCAUUGGAAACUGGGAGACUUGAGUGCAGAAGAGGAGAGUGGAAUUCCAUGUGUAGCGGUGAAAUGCGUAGAUAUAUGGAGGAACACCAGUGGCGAAGGCGGCUCUCUGGUCUGUAACUGACGCUGAGGCUCGAAAGCGUGGGGAGCAAACAGGAUUAAUCGGGGGGGGGUCCACACACAAAAACCUUCGGCCCCCCAGAAACACGGGGGGGGAGGCAAG